CCUACGGGUGGCAGCAGUAGGGAAUAUUGCAUAAUGGGCGAAAGCCUGAUGCAGCAACGCCGCGUGUGCGAUGACGGCCUUCGGGUUGUAAAGCACUUUUGGAAGGGAUGAGGAAGGACAGUACCUUCUGAAUAAGCCUCGGCUAACUACGUGCCAGCAGCCGCGGUAAAACGUAGGAGGCGAGCGUUAUCCGGAUUUACUGGGCGUAAAGCGCGUGCAGGCGGUUCGGUAAGUUGGAUGUGAAAGCUCCUGGCUUAACUGGGAGAGGUCGUUCAAUACU
rnacentral:rRNA from 1 species